GCUGUGAUCGUAUAGUGGUCAGUACUCUGCGUUGUGCCCCCAGCAACCUCGGUUCGAAUCCGAGUCACAGCA
rnacentral:tRNA from 1 species